GCUCCCUCUGAGGGAAGGAGCGGCCCUCGCUGAGGGAGGCGGCUCUCUCUGAGGGAAGGAGCGGCCCUCUCUGAAGGAGGUGGCUCUCUCUGAGGGAGCCCUUCCCGCGCCGCCAUUGCCGCGCGCGGGGCGCCCCCUGCCGGCGGGAGGGCGGGAGCGUCCCCUCAGCGCCCCUCAUGGCCCGGUCCUGCCCCCGCCCGCGGGUGUCACCCCAGAACUUUACCUGCAGUAAACUUUACCUGCAGUAAACUUUACCGGCGACUUACCGACUCGUUACCAAAAUGCCAAAACUGUGACCUUAUGGUUUACAGAGCAAAAGGCUGCCCUGUGCUGUAACGCCUCAGGGCUGUAGUCAAACACGGAACAGAAGUGGUGAAGAGCUGUUUUCCCCUGUGCGGUUGAGGGCACGACCAGAGGGGCCACAAGUAAUGAGGAGGGGACUGUGGCUACGUUUUGAAGAUGAAAUGGCGUAAAGCCUGCAUACGGCUCAGGAACCUGCUACCAGUGCCAGAGCUGGAGGCCGAGGAAACAAUCUCCCCGUUCCCUGUCCCGUCCUCACUCAGCCCUGCGCGGGGGACAGUGACCCUGUCUGGCCCGACACAUCCUCCGGCUUAGCAAACACAGCCAGGUGGUGGCUCAGUUCUUUGAGCUCCAGUGAGUUGGUUUAAAUCCUUCUGUUUAAUAUCAAGCCUGUCUUGAUAUCAGUUCCCGCAAGAAUGAAACUGAUUUCUUCACGAAUUGUGCUCAGAUAAUAAUAAAGUCCAACGCAGUCGGUUCUGACUGGGAGACUGUGAUGGGCACGGCUGAGCUCUCACUGUGUUGUCGUAUUACAGGAGAGAAUGAAAGUGCCUGAAGUGAGCAAAAACUUGUCAGACCCAUAAAAUGGCACACAAUCCCUAAUCCUACAAUCCCUAAUCCUCAAACCAGCGCAUUUGCUACAAGACGCGUUCCUCUUGAAGGCCUCUGAGGAAAUACUGUGUGGAGAUGCUUUAGUCGGGGGUUUACACCAACAGAAUAUGCAGCAGGAAUGUGUCGUCUUUGCUUCACCCAGUGUUUCCACCCAGAGACCUGGGGAUGGGGGCUCUCUGGAGUGUAGAUCAUGCAACCCCACACUGAAAACCAUGAUGACACAGAGCAUUUAUUUUACAUUUUCAUGGUGGCACAUCCAGUGUGAUGAUAUGUAUUUUAAGAGAAGAGGCCUCGCUGAGGAUUAAAGAUCUUGGGAUGUUCAAAGCUGCUGUAAAUGCAUAAGGAAGAAGUGAGAAAAAGGAUCAACUCCCAGGUGAGCUCAGGCACAGCCAGGUGUGGAGGAGUGCCAUCACCAUCCUCUUGGAAGACAGUCAGCAAUGCCUGCUGCAGGACACUGGGGCCUCUUUUUGCCUCAUCAAAGAAGCUCUGUGGAAAAAUUUUUUGGGGAGCCAUGUCCACUGUUGGAGGCCACAGCUGGAGACAAGAUGCCAGAACUGAUGCACGUUCUGCUCGACAAGGCCAAGGGGUGAGGAAGGUAAAUGUGACCAAGCUCCAUCUGUGCCAUGACACUGGAGACAAGGAAGUGGCAAAAAGCUUCAGAAAGGUAAAAUACCUAAAAAAUGCAUCUCUUUGAUCCCAUCAAAGCUCUGGCUACAGUUUCUGAAUUCCUGUGACUCAGCAAGAAUAUGGAGAAAAUUCCCCAGUCCGAGGUCCAAGUGCUUAAAGCUGUGUAAGUUCAUAGCCCAGGCAAGUCUCUUCUGAACACUCCAAAAAAUAACAGGAGUCUUGGAAAGCAAAUGUCCCUCACUACUGACUGUCCUACAUGUGAACUAGCCAGACUGGUUAAAGCUUAAUUAAAACUUGCCAGAGUGGCUAAAUUCCUUUCUAAGUGCAGCUGCAGAACGUUAGCUGUGGGCAUAUUUUAGACCUUAAUUAGUAACACUUGCACUGGAGGACCAAAAACCUUUCAUGAAUGCAGCUGCAAUCAAUUAAUAUCAGUCAGGCAUUUCUGUGGGCAAUACCAGGCUCUCCUGAAAAUUGUUUAGUGCCCACCUAGAUUUAAAAAAAUAAAAUUCUUAUGCACAACAAACUACAAAAACAAAGAUAACUACAAAAUGUCUUUAUUGAAAAAAAGCAGAUUAUAGCAUCUAAGGUUAAAUGAAACUUCUGACUUCAAUAUUAAAUAACUUAAGAUGAUAGCAAGUUGCUUCUUCUUUAGAUAAAUAAAUCUACAUUUCCCAAUUUUUUUCUUCAAAAAUCAAGGGAAUCAAACACUGAAACACAAAACCACAAGUAAUUCUAAAGACUAAAAGACAGAAGCACAUUGAAAGGUUUUACAAGGAUAUAUAUACAAAAAUAGUUAAACUAAUGUAUAUUUUCAGCAUGUAAACUAGUUACAUGAUAUACAAACUGGGAAUUCAUAUAUUUCCUACAAAAUAAAAAUCAACGUUGGUCCAAGUUCUUGGAAGAAAACUAUAUUCUUUUAAAGAAAAUGAAAAUAUUUCUCAAAUGAAAACUUAAUUUAAGUCAAAUUAUAUACUCUAGUUUACGGCAUUAGUUACAGGAUGAAUCACAAACUUUUAAACUUUUCUUGAAACACAAGAAAGCAGCUUUUGUCUCCUUCAGAGCUUUGGUUUACUUUACUACUCUGGAAUUUCUGGUCUUAAAGAGCUCCUCUAACCAUGUUUUCCUUUUGAAGCUCCACCUUACAAAAUAUAUACACACGUGCAGGCAAGUGAAAGGGAAAGGAAAGAAACCCAAACAAACCCUCUCUGUAAGGUCAGUUAUCUGAGUGCAUUCUUUUGUUUUGUUUUCAAAUAAGUAUUUUGGUCCUUUCUUUGGAACACUCCUCCCCUGGACGGGACUCUGCAUCCCCACAACAGCUCUGGGCUGCAGGGACUUGGGAAGAUUCCCCACCCAAGGGGAGAAGGUGCAGUCCUGAUGCAAAUGAGAACAGGUUGUUAUUGUUUUAACUUUAUGGAAACAUUCUGAAAGUACAGCAAAGGCUUCUGAAGAACAAUCACAUCAUAAAAUGAACUCGGGAAGUUUACGUCUGUGUUCAACUGAUUUCAGGUAAGAAUACUCCGUAAGAAAAUCACUGAAAGAAACUUUCUCGCUUACAUAAUUCCCAGGCAGGAGGUAAUGUGCAGAAACUGCCACUUGCACUAAAGAGUACAGCACAUCAUUAUCUUAGGUUUGAUUUUAUUUUUCUCUUUGAUUUGAGCGGGGGAAAAAAAAUCAAACCAAAACUCCAAACUGGCAAAUUUCACUCAAGCUCCACCUUUCAUAGUAACUGUUGGAAAAGCAAAGCUGUACUUCAUAAUACAGUAAUGGAAUGCAUCUGUCUAUAGAAAAUACUGGAACAACAACUGCUGCUUUCUGCUUUUAAACAAAUUGCUUAUUCUGUACUGAAAUACCACCUUUUGGUGAUACUUAACAGAUCAGAGCUGUGUAGAACUACAAGAGACUCACAGAUCAACAUGAGAAAUAAAAUUAAAUAUUAUUCUGUUCUACGGGAUGAUUGUUUAAAAAAAAAAAAGAAGAAGAAAAGGUCUGGUAUGUACAUGGUUGAGUUUGCUGUGCCUUGGAAAGUAUGUUGGAAACUUAAACUUGCCCCGGAAGGAGGUGAAGUGCUUGGGAAGAUCCUGGCAGAGGACAGGUCCAAGUGCCAGGGUCAGUCACCUCCAGCUCUGGCCACUCUCAGCUUGGGGGUUUUGCUUCUCUCCUGGUAAAGCAAAGCACUUUUCCAGUCCAGCAAGUACUGUUAUGGGAUCAUUUGCUCCCAGGAACAGACACAAACCUUCUCUCUGCAUUUUAAUGGUUCUUUCCUUAUUUUGGGUUCCUCAGUACACACUGUAAAGACAAGUGAGUGAAAAUGCCUCCAAGCUAAAGGUGGUCCAAGGUAGCUCCUUCAAAGGAGAAAGCACUGCCCUGCAGCUGAUGCUAAAAGUUUAUCCUGAAGCUCUGGUAUCUUCCAUGGUUGUAAUAACCUCAAGGAACUCACCUAGUCCUAACUACCCAGUUUAAACCAAUUUUUCCCCCUUUUCUAGCCGUUGCUGGCACACACAAUUCCACUCCUCCUGAGGCUGGGCUGCUGACUAUGGACACAGAGAGAGUGCUUGCAAAUGCAAAGUGCACAUGCACCCACUGGCCUCUGGUUUGCAGGCCAGGCCUCUUGGGCCACAGUGUAGAAAUGGGGCUACUGGUUGCACUGCAAUUCCUCCAAAACCUGGGGCUCACAUUAAAUAUGUUAAUUAUAAACUGAUAAACUGAUAUAUACUAAGUAAAAAAUGACUUUUUAAAAGAGCAUCUGACUUGCCCAGAAGCAUUCAGGAGGACAGGUUAAUCUAGGCCAGUGGAAGGCUGGCAAAAGUUCAGGAAGUGUACCUUUUGUUCCUUACUGACAGACAAAAAUAGUUCUCAGGAAUUUUUCCUGCCCACCCCCCUUCCCCCAUAAGAAAAUUCCAGACUAUCAAAAAGUUCUGUUAAGGGAGUUAAUUAUUCCACUUAGGAAUUAGUGUCCAUUGGAUGCUCUUUGUGCUUUUCAAGAGCACCACAAAUGGCUUUCAAAAAGUCAAUGGAGCAUAAGAAACUAAACUGCAAUGGUGUUGCCAAAUAAGUCAUCUCAUCAGCCUGCCUGGUGAAUUGAACACGGGAUCAUUUCCGACCCGAUCGCUCCCAUUCUCAGCGUGGGGAGAACUGGCAGGGAAACGUCCCCAUUUACACAUGCAGUGAAUCUGCUCUGGAAUUUCCACUUCCUCUGGAGCAGAAGAAUUUUAUUUUAUUGCAAUUUUGAACACAGUUAAAGACAGCAAUGAUAAAUGGCAACUUCAGGAAGGCUGGAUCGAUUCUCAUGAGAACACAAGGAAUUUUUUAGACAUACAGAUGUGUGAUUUGCAUGUAAAUCACCAGCACAUGGUAGAAAACAAACCAUAAAAAAAGAUUCAUUUAACUUCCUAUAUGGAAGACAUAUAUUUUCCCCCAGAGCUCUGAGGGUACUGUAAAAGCUUAUGCAAAACAUGGAAGUGUGUACAUUCUAUGUACAGCUAAUACUUGUUGGAAAAUACCAAUGUUUCAAUGACCCGACUCUCUAAAUUCUUAUUUCUGUUAAACUGUACUUUGUUUUCCAAUGAAGACAAUCCCCCUAAUCAGUUCAAAAGUAAUCCAGAAAAGAACACAAAGCUGAAAAGGUAAUACAAAACCACUGUCCCUCUCUUUCUUUAAUAAUGUCUCAACAUACAAUCAUAAAGCAGUUGGUAACAGAUGAAGUCUUGUAUCAAACAAACCGUAUAAAGACAAAUGUAUUUUUGCAUAGAAAGGGGCAGCUAACCCUAUUAAACAACAAACAGGUUUGAAAGAUGAAUUCUUUAGUAAGUGCCAAAUGGUCCAGUUGAUAUGAGUGAGUUUGGAAACCAUGGCUACCUUGUACCCAGCCAGCAAUUCCAGGGGCUGUGCCACCCUGCAACUGCUAACCCUGCACGUGCCAACCUUUUGGGGAUAAUCCUCUGUAACAUGGGUUUUACAUGAAGUGCUUGCCAUACUUCUCGAACAAGCCCAAUAAUUAGUCUUUGGAUGACUGUGGAACCUUGUAGGAUGGAGAACUGGCCUCACAGGAUGCUGAGCCUGUGCUGAACCCGUCCUGGCUACAAACACCCACCUGCCUCCUCCCCACUGCUGCUGGGAAUCCAAGUAUUCUCUAAGACCAGAAUUCACCAAAACUAGCUAAAAUGCUAGCAUUUAUCUUAUCAUGCCUGCUGCAAUAUGAUAAGGUGCUAACUUUUGGAAAGUAAUUCUACUCUCCUCACUCGGGUGAAAUCACUGAAGGAAGUGAGCAGGGAGUGCAGAACAGCCCUUUGUACCAUUGUUUUAGAAAUGCUGCCAUUUACAGUUACAGUUUAGUGGUAAAUUAUUUGUUCAAGUAGAUGGUGUCUCAGUGAAAAUGUCUAGAUAAAAGAAUGCAUAUGUACAAGAUCAAAAAAGGACCCUUCACCUCUGAUUCAAAAAAUAAAUAGCUGGUUUAGGUGGUUAUUACUGGAAUCUCAUCUUUAAAGGAACACGAAAGUCACUUUUACAUAUUUGUCUUCUCUUUCAAUUGAUCCUGGCAAUGUCCCUCAGAGUUCUGUGACAUGCAUGGGGUAGCUGGGAGGGGGAUGUGAUGGCAGUUUGAUGUUGAGGCGCCUGAUGUGACAGCUGUGGCAGAGCAGGUGGCCCUCUAAGGGGUAACAACGAUGGCCUUCCUCAUCAUUGAGCUGCAAGCCACAGUCCUGGAGGAGACAGACAGCCCAGGUUAGUGAGGGAGUCAGGCAGGGCACCUCCCAGCACUGCUGCCCUGUCCUGCACAACCCCAGAGCUCCCUCCCUGCCUCCAGAGCAGCAACCCCGACAGGCUGGGGGGGACCCUGACAAUCCACACCAACAUCCCUGAACUCAAACAGGGCACUCCAGAGCAGUACCCAGCCUCUCUUCCACCACUGUUUCCCGUUCUAGUCUCUUCUUCAGCUCAUAAAUAUUGAUGCAAAUUGGCCAAAAAGCAGGGCAAGGACCGACCCUGAGAAAUACAACGUGGGAGGGGUUAGAACAGAGGAGGAGCUGAUGCUGCAACACAAGAGCAGAGAGAGCACAAGCAGAGAAUGAGGAGUGGGGAAAAGGGGGGAGAUGAGACAUGUCUGAAGCAGCACUACGCUUUCUCUAAUUUGGAAUUAAAAAAAAAAUUAAAGAGUUCAAGGCCAGUUAUCCAACUUUACUGGAAAUGCUGGUACCUCUGGGACUGGCACAUAACUACAGGGACAACGUGGGUGAACAACAGAACAGGAACAGAGAGAAACAGAAAAGCAGCUACCAGUAAUCCUGCCUGCUACUGUUCUAUAGCCUGCAACAGAAACAAUACUGAUUUUCAGCUGCCAUCAUUAUAAUCUUGAGGGCAUUUAAAAAUCAUGGAAAUUUGGUGCUCAGUUUUGAUGUUUCAAAUACGUUAAAUACUUAAAAAUUGUUACUGUGACCAGUCCUGAGAAACCAGAGAUUCUAAAUUUGUAUCUGUGCACUUAAUAGAAAGGGGGAAUAGGAAAAAAUUGGGCAUAUAGGUUAUUUUAGACUGAAAAUGAAUAAAAAGCUGUUAAUUGGACACGAAGAAUGAUUUUUCACCUUUCACAGCUCAAGUUUAAAUCCUCAAAUUUUACAAUGCUGAAAUAAGGCUGAAAAUGGGUUUUAAAGUGAGCUUUAAAACUGGAAUGUUAGUUUAGUGAGGCCAAAAUCAAAGUUUCUGCCAAGGUAAUUUUCUGUGUGUUGCUAGAUAUUAUGUAAUAAUUUUAUAGCCAUUUAUGUAAGAUUUAAAAUUAGAAUUUACCAAUUUGAGACACCCUACAGAUGUGCCAAGUGUUGACAUCUCUUUGCCUUUCCAAAAUGGAAUUCCCUCUGUGCAAGGAGGGACCUUGUCAGUGGGUUCCAGUUCCACACUGGGGGUCUGUUGAUGAGUAACUGCUUGAACUUCUCUGCAGAAGUGAAGUGGUUGCACACGAACGAUGCAGAAAAGCAGCAAAAGUUCCAACCUGACCACUGACUGCGGCCACCAGGUGAGGAUGCAGAAGUCAUCGUAGCAUUCCUCAAAAUACUGGCACUAACUCGUCCAGCAGCAUUUGGGGACAGCUGUACAGUCUGACAGCCUAGUCUGAGAGCACGAGGCAGUGACCCACCCCUGCUGACACAAGGCCAGCUCCUGAUUUCUGUACAUAAGUGCACUCUGCCUCUCGGGGCAGAUGUGGAGGCAGCCUGAUUUGCCUCAAAUGGGAAGGAGAACGAGGAAAUGAAUAAUGAAACAGAACUGAAAAUAAACCCCCAGUGGGACAUUCUAGCAUAAAGUCAAGAGAGAAGGGGAGGGAGCUGUCAUCUGAGGUGAAGCCUGCACAAAGCAAGAGAUGGGGGAAGAAGGAGGAGGGAAGUACUGCUCUCCAAAAUACUGCGAUUUCCUGUGCCAGUUUCUCCUGAAAAAUUAAUAGAAAAGGAUGGAGUAUCAGGUGUCUCUGUUGGAAGGAGACAGCUGAGUGCAUGGGGUCUUCCUUACAUUUAGGGACAUAACAUUUCAAGAUGUCCUGAAUUUUGUUAUUUCUCCCUCCAUCAGAAGGCUCUUUGUAAAACCUUGUGCACAACAGUGUGUGAAGACAGCAUUGCUGCACUGCUGCCUCUGGUGCUAAAAGUCAGGCUCUGUGUGGAUAUUCAUACAUUAUAUCAGAGCACCAGACCUACAGUGAAAGGGAAGUUUUCGGUUGAUCCCAACUUAGAGAGUUUGUUUCCCUCCUCAUGUUCCUGGAUGCAGAGCUCAUGAUGAACUCAGCUCUCCUCUCCAAAGCAAGAGCACUAAUUCCACAAAUUGAUCUGCCACAACACAUGUUUAAAUGUCCUGCAUAAUAAGAAACUACUCCCCAAAAAGUGAGAGUCAGUCAGUGGUAUCUUUAUCUCUUUUCUAGUAAGGAAUUCAGAAGGGAAAAAUCAGAUCCCCCAAAAAGCCUUCCCGUCAGGGUUCUUCCCUGCACAGGCCAUGUGAAUUCAAGUCUGCUCAGAUUAGAGCCCUACAGCCUGUAUCCAGAGAUGAGGAAACAGAGAACUGGCAUCUACUCUUUGUUCUCUCCCCAUCUGGAAGUAUUGAGAAAAUCCAACCCAACCACUCAAACCCAGUUAUUCUAUUGGGUAAAGAACCCAACCCAAGCCCACUUCCAGCCCUGCCCGCCUGAGCCGUGGGGCAGGGCCCUGCCCAGGAGUGCAGAGCCAGCAGGCACAGCCCUGCAGUGGGUCAGGCCCUGCCCAGAGCUGCUGUUGGGGCGGGCAGGGGUCCCAGCUCACCUCGCAGUGGUAGCACUCCACGUGGUAGUCCUUGUCCAUCGACACCACCCGGAUGGUCUCCUCGGAGCCCUGGUGGGAAGCACAGACAGAGUAAGAGUGGUGCCUACACAGCGUUUCUCAGUGGUCACUCAGUGCCCAGCCUGGCUCUUUGGAGAGCUGAUUCCAUGGGGGAUCCCCUCUCCCCCUGCACAGCACA